rnacentral:lncRNA from 1 species
AAAAAUUCAGAAGUCCCUCCCCUCUUUCUGAGCAUAGCCUAGAAUCCAACAGUCGGGCCAUCUUGGCGGCCGUCGGUCGCUGGCGACAGCGCCAUCGUCCACGUUGGACAGAGAAUGAGAAAAGAGGCCAUUUUUUACCCUUUUUUAAACCUAGAUAUAGAUCUAAAGGAGGAAGCCUAAAAAGAAGGAAAAAGGAAAAAAAAUUGGUCGGCGCCCCCUCGUAUCCCCUUUUUUUACGAAACCCGAACGUUACCCUAAUGGGUUCGACGGCUUGCGGCGUUGGAGGAGACCUCCGACGGCGGCGCAACGUGACCGGGCAAGUGAGUUUCAACCCUUUUUUUGUUUUAUAUUUUACUUAUAAAUUCGUAAAAAACCGAAAUAUAAAAAAAUCACCUUUUCUUUGAGUUUUGUUUUCAAUUAAUAUUGUGUGUGUAAAAAUUACAAUCCAGUUUCUGGCUUUUAUAGCCAAAAUAUAUUACAUGAUAUUGUUUUUUUGCUUUUUCUUCUUUUCGUCUUUUCUGCUUUUGCUGUUCUCUGCUAUGUUUUCUUUCCCUUUUGCAGGUAGCCAUGGAGAGUCAACGAAGGGGAGAGGAAAUGUGUUAUUUGCCAUUUUGGUGCGAGGUUGCAGACGGACCUCGGGACGAGGCGUGGGUGACGUGGCCGAGGAGAAACGGUGCAGGGGGCUCUAGGGUUUUUGUUUUACUGAAAAUGUUUAAACAUUUUGGGCCAUUAGGCUUGUAUUUUUUUUUAGGUUAAGAUUUUUUUGCAUUUUGGGCUAUAUUGACCUGUUAUAGUUUGGGCUGAUAGCUUGUAAAUGGAUUCUUUUAAUCCUCAACUGUGUAUAUAUAUAUAUAUAGCAAUGGAGGUAGUAGUUACCUCAUAAAGUGGUACCAAUAUUUUUACUACAAAAUGAAAUUCCCACUUUAAAUACCACCUGGUCUCAAAAAAUCUCUAACUAGAUUUUGUAUUCAAGUUAAAAUAAUGCAAAAAUGGCC